AAGAGAUUUCAGGCAUCAGGAGGCUGCAGAGGGAACGGGACCACAAUCAGAAGCCAUGAGAGCCAUGGAGACAAGAGUCCACAUCUCUACCCUUCCUGCCCUGGUAGAGCGACCCCUGGGGAGGCCUCUUGUGCUGGAUUGACAGGAGGCCAAGCCCAGGAAGGAACUCUGCACCUCUCCCCGUCCCUCGACCUCCUGCCGCUGCUGUGACACUUUCUAAGUUGCUGCGAGCAAGAGAAGCACAUCAUCGGUGUAGGUGUGACUUUAUAGAAGGCUCUCUGGCUACAUCAUGAAAGACAGCAAGACAGCUUGGAUUCAGAAGAUGGCUGACUAUAUAUAGAAGCUGAGGUAGAUCCCAGAAGACAUGGGUUCCAAUCCAGCUGUGCCUUUCCCUAGCUCUGUGACCUUGGCAGAACUCUCAAAGCAGACGAUUCGCCUGCAGAGUGUUGACCUCCCCUGAUGUCGCUGUCACCGAGUGAGCUGUUUCAGGCCCCCUUCUGUUCUCUCUCAAAGUCACCCUCGGAUGCCAUUGAUGCCAUCAGCAUUCUUGGCCGGCUGCAGCUGGUCUAGACUGCACCGACAGACAGCAAUAUGGGUUUACCCAGAAGAUGCCUCAGCAGAACCGAGCUGACUGAAACAGCCCUCGGCUGCCUGUUCUCCAACCCUUGGCAGUCCCAGAGACCUGUAGCAGUACCCUCCAGAGAUCUGCAUCCCAUCUCAGUAGCCAGUUGGAGGCAGACUCUGGGCAAUUUUUAUCUCUCUAGCAACAGUGCUCUCUUAUGGCUAGUUUCUCAGUUUUUAUUCAUGUGUUUCAUUUAUUCGUUAAUCAAUACAGACUGGUGAGUACUUAUUUGCAUGGUAUUUGUUAUAUUAGGUAAAUCUGGAUAUAUUAAUAAUAUAUUAUGUGUGUGUGUAAGAAUAGUUAAGAGCAUGAGUCACCUCAGGGAAAUUCUUUAGUUUUUCUAUGCCUCAGUUUCCCCCAGUCUUAAAA